rnacentral:piRNA from 1 species
UGCCAUGAUGGUUUGAACCAGC